CUUUCAAAAUUAGAUAAACAUUGAAAAAUAAUUUAAAUCCGGUGACCGUUGAGGGCUUACAUUUAAAGGUUCGGUGAGAGGAUGUUUCUUUCCCCAUCAGUGGUUUUUCUUUUUUCAGUGUGACCAGGCUUGACACCCGGAUGCUGGCCCCCGCUCAGCCCGGCCUGCGGCAGUGACGACACGAGACAGCCGCCGCGCCGGCAGCGGACAGCUGUGACGCGGCUCCUGAGUGGGACGAAGCGCGCCUGCCGCUGCGCCCGCCACGUCUUUAGCCAGGACGUGGGGUUUGGUUAGAGAGCCGCUGUGCGCCCCCGACUCCCCGCCCAGCGUGGCCUCAGCCAGCACUCCGGGUCCUCGGAUGGGGGCCCUCCGUGUGUGUGAGCCCGCACAGGGUGGCGGGGGCCUCGCCUGGUAAGAAAGCGGGUGAGCCCGGGCCCCAUGCACCCGCGCCGCAGGAGAGGGCCGCACCCAGGAGGGACGCACAGAGGUUCAGAGGCCUCUGCGUGUGAUUUGUGGAGGUGACUCCACACCCUGGGCUUUCCUGCCAGGAGGUGGAGGAAGGGACACCAGGGGACUGCGGGCGCGGGGGAGAAGAGAGGAGGGCCUGGGCUGAGGAAGGGGGUGGCCGGCUGCCCGCGCUGCUGGGCAUCUGCCAGGACGGGUGCCCACCCGGCUGCUCAGGCUUGGCCUCCACCACCCCGGAAGAGUGACGAGCACUGAGGGCUGGCGGGGGGAGUCAGGGAGGUGCCGAGGGGAGGGCUUCCCAACGGCCGGCCUGGACCACCGUGCGCGGGCAGGCGUCCGGAAGCAGGGGACAGGUCGUGGGUCCCCAUGGGAAGGGUGCUCGAGGACACAGGCCCAGCUCGUGUCUCCGUGGCCCUGCUUCAGCAGGUGGGCCUUGACCACACCCAGGUGGGAGGUGAUAGUGGGGCGUGGGGGUACCAUGUCCUCCAAGGCUCUGCCCGUGGGCCAUGGUGAUGGCCAGCCGGAAAUGCUCCCAUCCCUUCCUGCCCCCACUCCUGGUCCCUGGGAUCUUGUCCCAAUGGCCCCUUCCGCUUCUGUCCCACGCCUUGUCCCCUGGCCGCAUCAGGGCUCCUUCCUGCUCAGGACGGGCCAUUUGUCUUCUAGAGAAACACACCCUGCAGUCACGCCAUGUGACACUCCUGCAUCAGGGACAUUGUCACGUGCUGUUCUCUGCUGCGUCGCCUCGCCUCCCGCUUGGCACCGCCCCCACCACGCACACCCCUCUGGACUGUAGAGAAAUGACGUACAGUUUUUACUCCAGGCUCUGAAAGAGGUAAACGGGCAGGCGGCACGGAAGGCGUGCUGCCCCGGCCCCUCACGGGCGGCCGCGGCUCCCCGCUCCCCGCACAUCCUUCCGGGGGUUCGUCUCCGCGCGCGGGUGCAAAUCCGUCCGAGCGGCACACCCCGCGCCUGCUGCACACCUCGCGUCUUCCACGCGACAGCAGGGGCUCCGUCUUUCUCCACCAGCACGUACGCUCCUCCCUUGGCUUCAUGGUCCCCUGGUUCCAGUCCCCUGGUUUUGACACGAUUUGCUUCUACUGGCCUCAGUCCCUGGCCCCCGGCCGGCAUGCCCAGAUGGUUUUGUACGCGCCAGUGUCGUUGUGGCGUGAAUAUCUAGGGUUGGAAUUUCGGGGCAAAAGACCUCUUUAUUCUCACACUUGACACAGACUCUGAUUGUCUUCCGGGGGCAAGGCACCUUCUUGCACGUCUGUCGCCCUUCCUGACACUGUGGUAACCGAGCGCUCGAUCCGAGGGGUUCGCUAAGCUCUCCCGCCUCAGGCUGGGCAGGGGCUGGGCAGGAGCCCGAGGAGAGGCCUGGCUGGGGGUCCGCCGACUCUCCCACACAGACGCGGGUUCGUUACUUCGUGUUCGGUGGCUCAUGGCACUUAAUCAAUUGGAAAUAAAUGUAGCAACAAGUAAGUCUUAAAUUGUGGAUAAACGCGUGUCACAAGUUGUGCUUUUAGUAAUAACUGUUCCGGGUGUUGAAGGUCAUCUUGCCGCCAGAGACGAGGUGUGUGUGAUUUGAUUAAUGCUCGUAGCAACCUUCAGGGAGGGACGUGUUCCCUGGGCGACAGGAGGAGAACCUGAGACCGGGAGGAGGAGUCUUGUCCAAGCGGGAGGACCGGGAAACGACAGGGCCGGGACCAGAAGGCCCUGUGUCGGCUCCAGGACCCAGGCUCAAGUCCUCGCUCUGUGACAGCACGUGCUGUGACGGUCACUCACUCAGGCCCGUGGGCUCAUCUUCUCGCCUGUGGAGCCGGAUGAGGGGAGCCGGGGCCGAGCACAGAGACGCCUCCGUCCCGCCCAGGCACCUCGGUGGAAGAGAUACCUGAUAAAUGGCUGGUCCUUCCCCUUCUGCCAAGACCCAUCAUGGUGGUUUGAGCAUCGCCACCCCCUCCUUGGGGCAGGGAGCCAGGGACGGCCAUCGGGAGGCGAGGGACCUGACUGACAGCACAAACCGCCUGACCCGUGAGGGCGGCCUGCGACCCCCGGGAGGCUACCAGGAGAGCACAUUAGAGAUGGUAGAAGAAUUGGUGAACUUCUAAACAUUUUACAUAAAAAUUAAACAAUCCAAAAAUUGGAGAAUAAAAAAACUAGAAGAAAAAUGAACAGAGCCUCAGAUAUAUGUGGGACAAUAUGAAGCAGCCAACUGUGUCUAAUUGUCUCAGAAAGAGAGGACGUGGAGAAAGAGACAGAACAUAUUUGAAGAAAAAACAGAAAAACUACCCCAAAUUUUGUGGGAAACAUGACAUUAUUGAUUUGAGAAUCUCCGUGAGCCUACACUUGGAUAAAAAAACAAUGAAAUGACUCCUAGCAACAUCAUAGUCCAGCUUCUGGAAGCGAAAGAAGAAGGAGAUCUUGAAAGCAGCACGAAAAAAUUGGUCUUACAGAUGGGGAACAGGUGUGCGAUUAACAGAAACAACAGAAGACAGGAAACGUUGGAAUAUCAGAUUCAACUGCUGAAGUGAAAAACAGGCAAACAAAUCUAUCCAGCAAAACCUUCAAAAUGAAGGCAGAAGAAGGAAAUUUUCUAUAAACAAAAGUUAGGAGAAUUUGUUCCAAGCAAGUCUUCACUGUAAGAAAUGCUAAAGGAAAGGGCACCUGGGUGGCUCAGUUAAGCGUUUAACUUCGGCCUAGCUGAUGGUCUUGCCAUUGGUGGGUUCAAGCCCCGUGUCGGGCUCUGUGCCGACAGCUCGGAGCCUGGAGCCUGCUGCGGAGUCUGCAUCUCCCUCUCUCCCUGCCCUGCCCCAGCUGGCUCUCUCAAAAAUAAAUAAGUGUUAGAAAAUAUGCCAAAGAUGUUCAGGGGGAAAGGGAAUCCCUCAGAUGGCAUCUGGGUGACAGGCAGGAACGGAUGCCAAUGGAAGGAGGACACUGUGAGGAAGAGACCAGACAGAUGUUCCUGUUCCCACCGGGAGACAGAACCCACUGGAGUAACCUGAACUGGAAAGUUUGUACAAAGAAUGAGAAAUUGUAAGAGAUGGUUGAUUCCCAAAACAGACAAAGGAGAACUCGAAAGAUUAAAGUUUUGCUAUGAAGGGAAUAGCUUCCACAGCUAGUGUGCAGGGAAAAUAAGAACCUAGAAGAGGGCUGUCUUCCCCCACGAGGCUGAGGUCCGGCGCCCCGGGGAGCCCAGCUCGGCAGGAGCAGAAACUCCAGAGAAGGAGCCGCUGAAGCUGGUCCACAGCGGAGACCCGCCGGUGGGCCACAAGACCCCCCAGAGAGAGUGCACCGGUGGGCCUCCUGCGAGCUGCUGGCCACAGGUGGACAAAAGCCCAGGGACAGGACGCGAAUCCAUGGCCUGGCUGGGGCUUUUGGUGGCCUUCUAGAGCCCUCUACUGGCAAAGCCUGGCAUUGCUCCUGCAGGCCAAAGGAAUCUUUACAGGGUCCAGCUCUAGGUUCGCAGCGCAGGGCAACGCAGGGCGGAUUCGCAGCUAAGAGGCCGUGCACUGGUAGCCAGUGAGCUCUGCAUUUACUUGUGCUUUUUAUACUUUUCUCUAAGGGGCCACCAGGGGGCCAACUUCAGCUCAGGUCAUGGUCUCGAGGUUUGUGAGUCCA